rnacentral:tRNA from 1 species
GCCUCAGUAGCUCAGCGGUAGAGCACUUCAUUGGUAAUGAAGAGGUCACGGGUUCGAUUCCCGUCUGAGGCUCCA